CACAGAAGAAGCACCGGCUAACUCCGUGCCAGCAGCCGCGGUAAUACGGAGGGUGCGAGCGUUAAUCGGAAUUACUGGGCGUAAAGGGUGCGUAGGUGGUUGAUUAAGUUAUCUGUGAAAUUCCUGGGCUUAACCUGGGACGGUCAGAUAAUACUGGUUGACUCGAGUAUGGGAGAGGGUAGUGGAAUUUCCGGUGUAGCGGUGAAAUGCGUAGAGAUCGGAAGGAACACCAGUGGCGAAGGCGGCUACCUGGCCUAAUACUGACACUGAGGCACGAAAGCGUGGGGAGCAAACAGGAUUAGAUACCCUGGUAGUCCACGCU
rnacentral:rRNA from 1 species